UCCUGGCGUCAGGAUGAACGCGUGCGGCGUAGCCUAACACAUGCAAGUCGAGCGAGUUACUUCGGUAAGAGCGGCGGACGGGUGGAGUAACGACGUGGGUAACCUGCCCUGUACACACGGAUAACAUACCGAAAGGUAUAGCUAAUACGAGAUAAAUACUUUAUCGCAUGGUAGAAGUAUCAAAGCUUUUGCGGUACAGGAUGGACCCGCGUCUGAUUAGCUAGUUGGUAAGGUAACGGCUUACCAAGGCGACGAUCAGUAGCCGACCUGAGAGGGUGAUCGGCCACAUUGGAACUGAGACACGGUCCAAACUCCUACGGGAGGCAGCAGUGGGGAAUAUUGCACAAUGGGCGAAAGCCUGAUGCAGCAACGCCGCGUGAGCGAUGAAGGCCUUCGGGUUGUAAAGCUCUGUCCUCAAGGAAGAUAAUGACGGUACUUGAGGAGGAAGCCCCGGCUAACUACGUG
rnacentral:rRNA from 1 species